UAGUCUCUGAGAUGUUUGCCAGCGCGUCGAAUUCCCCUGAGCCGAUAUCUUUUUUUUAGGAUUACGUUCUGCAUAUUUAGAGUGUAUGCCUGCCUCAGAGCAGGAAACCCAGCAAGUAUGCGUCGUGUCCACCUUGAACUUUAGGGUUCAAGGGUGACGACAUGCAGCGGCAUCUUCGGAGUACUA
rfam:Acinetobacter brisouii CIP 110357 genomic scaffold adgTE-supercont2.1, whole genome shotgun sequence.